UACGAAGGGGGCUAGCGUUGCUCGGAAUCACUGGGCGUAAAGGGUGCGUAGGCGGGUCUUUAAGUCAGGGGUGAAAUCCUGGAGCUCAACUCCAGAACUGCCUUUGAUACUGAAGAUCUUGAGUUCGGGAGAGGUGAGUGGAACUGCGAGUGUAGAGGUGAAAUUCGUAGAUAUUCGCAAGAACACCAGUGGCGAAGGCGGCUCACUGGCCCGAUACUGACGCUGAGGCACGAAGGCCAGGGGAG
rnacentral:rRNA from 1 species